GGCGCUCAUUAAGCUUCCAUAGAUUGCAUUUCCUGCCUCCCCCGCUAGCCCUCCAAAGUGCCUGUUAUUAAUUCAUAAAAACACUGCAAGCGUGAUUGAGUCCGCUGAUUACUGGAGCAGGCAGACACAAGAGACGGUAAAAUAUUCCGUGUCUCUCUAUCAGGCUCUCAGGGGCUCGGGAGGAAGAAAAAAAAAAAAAAAGAGAGAGAGAGAGAGAGAAAGGCAACAACAUGAAGAAAGGAAUAUUAAAAAAAAAAAAAACCUGUGUUGUGAAAUAUUAAUCAGAGCUGUUUUCCCCCGGGGGCCAAAAAUAUGAGGCAGCAUAAUCAAUGUAGCAAGAGCUGCCCAGUGACACGUCUUUGAGAAGCUGAUUAUUGCGGGUAAACACAGCUAAAUAUUCUGGAUCUUUGGACUGUGCCUCUGGUGUUGCUGGAGAAUCCAAUUCCCUUAUCAUCCCUCUGCAGGUGUGGCCCUGGGGGAGCAUGGGAGGUGCUGGCGGGAUAUGGCUUCCUGGGCAGGGAGUCUCUUGGGCCCAGGGAGGAGCUGCCCCUGUUCCUUUCCAAACGCUGAUCAGGCGGGGUGGGAGUAGGGGGCUGGGAGGGGGGCAGUGUUGGAUGAUGCCCAAAGAGAUUUGUGUGAGCACGUGGGCUGGGGCCAUCUUCCAGAAUUGGCUCUGAACGGCUAAAGACCUGAUGCUGGCCAUGCCUAGGGAGCCCCAGUUCUAGAAUGGCAUUCCUGAGAGUUCCCCAAAAGAGCCCAGGUUGUUUAAAGGGAACUGAGUGGUGGAUUCAUGGGUCUCCAGCAAGGAUGGAGUCUUUCCAACUAAACUCUGUAUUGGAGAGGGUUUGGUUUGUUGAUUGCAGUACAGCCUCGUGGUACACCCAUCAUUGCAUUAAAGGGUCCUCAUGCCUGCCUCGAAUCCCUUAAGCUCAGUGAUCGGGAUAUGAAGCCUGCAUUCAAGACUGGAUGGAUGGGAAAGCUCACCUGUCAGUAUGGGCUCAAGUGAAUCUGGGUAUCAUUGAGACCUGAGGGUUGGAGCUCACCUGCACAGAGUUUGUGACUAUCAGAGUGGAAAUACCUUUGGAGAUCAGGUGUUCCAACAUCCUCAUUAGACAGAGGCCCAAAGAGAGACAGUGACUUGCCCAAGGUCACACAGCAGAGACAGGUUUCUUGAGGCAGAGGCUAAUCUCCCAGCACACCCUUGGGAGCAUGAAGAAGGAGGAGCAGGGGCAAGUGAUGGAGAUUGGUUUGCUUAAAGCCUUUAGGCUUAAGAAGAGCUCCCUGUCAGCUAUGAGGAGCCAGAUCAAAGGGGAGUGAGCUCAGAGGAAGAGAUGGUGCCCCAGAAUUCCUGGGUGCUAGCAUCAGAUCCACAACUAAAUUUUUGAAGAACCUUGAUUAGAUCACCCCCUCUGAGCCUCAGUUUCUGCAUUUGUAAAGGAGUUGGACUACACAGUGGCAAAGACCUCAUCAAGUCCAUGAAAGAGAACAGUAUUUGAGGUGAGCUGGGGCCAGAGUCUUCUCCAUGGUGAACAGAAAGUGAAGGGGGUUAAGUAAGAAACACUGGGCCAAUCAUAGCAUCCCCCAUCCAGGCACUAGGGGAGCAGCUGCCACAAAAGGACUCAGGAGGAGAAUGGCCCUCUAUCCCAGAGAGCUCAGAGUUUGUUUUCCUCUUGGUGUUUGUUAUAGAAGCUCAGAACUUCAUCUCUGUUCUCCAUCAGUCACAACAGCAGAGAAUCCAGGCUGAGGAAAACCUAGGCAGGUGAUGGCUGAUUGCUUUGGUGAGUGGCUUAACUUGUGAGAAAAGUGUGCCUUCUUAGCCCCAAGAGAUGGUUGCUCAAGCCAGAUGGGAUGAUAAUGAUAAUUAUAACUAUCAUUCAUUGAGUAAGUACAUUAUUCCUAGUCUUAAACCAGUUCUGCCCAUUUUACAGAACUGGAGAGCAAGGAUUAGCAAGGUUCAACAACUUGCCCCAGGUCACAGAGCUGAACAGUGGUAGAGCUGGGAUUUGAACAAAACCUCUGUCUGAUUCCCAAGGCCCAUGACAUUCCCAGUACACCUCUCAUUGAUGUCAGGGAAUGAAGAGGAAAUGAAUGUUGUCUACUAUUGAUUUCUUCUCAGGCCAGGAAAGUGAACUUCAGACUAGAAGGAAAAAAAGUGCUAUGAGCUGGUGGCACAGCUGUGGUGGAGUGGGGAAGUCAGAACCCUGACCUGAGUUCAGUUUCCUAAGGCCAAUGAUCUAUACCCUGGGUCCUGAGAGCUCCUGGCAAAGAAAAUCACCAAACAGCUAGUGGUGAUCUUGGGAGGAUUGUGGAGAUGAGAAAACUUGAAUGAUAAUAGAAAUGUUAUAUAUUCAUGAUCCUGAUAUUGAUCCAGGGAGGGAUUGCAGCAUGAGCAAUUAAAGUCAUGAUUUAUUAGCAAUUGGAAAAUGGCAUGGUGAUCAUCAGGCCUCAAGAUAGCUUUACAAGGAAUAGCUGAGUCCUAAUAAGCCAUAGUAAGUCAUAACAAGCUUAGUGUCAAAUCAGCACUCUCUGACAAGUUUACUGAAAACGUGAUCCAAGAAACACAACAAAUAUAAUAGAUCUAAAUUUCCAUAAAGAAAUUGACAUGGACUCUUAGGACAUCCUGAUGAAUGAGAUGGAGAAAUGCAGGCAAGAACCUUAGGAGACUGAGUUUAGCAUAACUCAGAGAACUUUGAUUAAUGCUCAGUGCCUGGUCUUAAGAGACACAUGGAAUGUUUCCCAAAUGGAGUGUCAGUGUGGCUACUGCUGUGGCUGUGACUGAAUAGGAUCCUACCCCAGUUAGUGACUUCCCCCAUCAGCUAAUGUAGACAAAGUUAAUAUUAACUUGAGAAUAAUCCUAAUAGCAUAAUCUUUGUAAAGUCCUUCAUGUACCCUCAAAAUAAAAUAAAAAAUAAUUGAACACCCAUAAAAAGUUCUGAAAGGAUACACAGGAAAACCCAAUACCAGUUGGGGGGAGGCUGGACAGACAUCAAGGGGGAUUCUUUCUUUGGGUGAUUAUUUUAUAAUGAGAAUGUAAUCAGACCUUAUUUGUAUGAAUAGAACUAGAAGAAAGAAGAAUAAAAAGAGAAGUCAGGCUUAUCAAAUAUUUGGUGGGAUUUGAACACCAGGUAUGUUGUUGGUGUGGUGACAUGGAAGGUCCCUUCCAACACUUGGCUCUGUACAUCUCACCUUGGCUCCAACCCUUAUUCAUGGUGCUGACCUUGGACACAUCCCUGCCCCUGCUCUGCCUCCACUUUCUGGAAUCUGGUUCCCCUCUCAUAAGAGAGUCUAGUUUAGGCUCAUGGUCCCCAAAUGUAGCUAUACAUCAGAGUCAGUUGAUAAGCUUUUUAAAAACAAGAGACUCAGGGGUCACCCCAUCUCAACAAUGGAUUAGGCAGCACCACUGCCCUCUCUGCAGCAGCAAAGACAGACAUUUGAGCAGUCAUGGCAUACUAAGCACCAGGCACUGCGCUCUCCCUUUUCAUGCUCAUAACACUUAUCUACCUGGCAUAUGGUUACCACCAAAGGACAAGGUCACAGAGGCUUGGGGAGGUGGGGACCUGUCCAAAGCCAGGAGGCUAGGAAGUGACCAAGUCACAAUUUGGAUCGUUUCUUAUGCAGUAUGUUGUGGGAGCUCAAAGAAGAGGGUGAUGAUUUUUCAUGGAGAAAAGAUGGGUUCAGGAAGAUUUCAUUAAGAUGUGACAUUUGAGCGGAGGUUAGAAAGAUGAGCACACUGUGAUGUUAUAGGCGGGUCUGGCAGGAGAGGUAAGGAGCAGCCUGAGUAAGAUGUGAAGCUGUGCAAACAGGUACCUGGGAGGCAGCAAGUGUUCUCUGGCUUAGGGUUCUGGCCUGAUGGGUGGGAUGGAGGCAGGGGAAGUAGCAGUGGCGUCUAUCUGCUCUGUCAGUGCUCCCUGGAGAACAGCCACUCAGAUCUCCAUCUGCCCAUCAGACAACAUUUCUUGACCCCGUACUGUUUACCAAACCCUGUGCUAGGCAGUAAAGGGCCCAGAAACACAGAGAAGCUGCAUUCCUCCCCCAAAAGGCUCUCAGACAGCGGGAAGACCAGACUGUGCUUCAAAGGAACACCAAAUAAUGAUUUAGAAAAUCACUAGCAAUGCAAGACAGCAACCUAAGAGAUGCCAUACUGCUCAGAGUUAGUGGCAAAAUGAAUGGGCCAGACUAUACACCUUGGUUGAGGUCAGGAAGAAAGAGAUGCUGCAGAACCGGUGGAACCUCAGCUGAAGGGUGGGCUAUUUAGAAAAGAGGAGGGAGAGCAGAGUUGUUUGCUAUGCCUUGUUUAGGCCCAGAGCAUGAGCAAAUGUGCUGAGGUCCGAACACAGCAGAUGGCACUGGGGCCAGACUGUGGUGUACAGAUUCAGGUGUUCAACCCUGUCCUGUGAGUGUGGCCUGGAGGACUGCUAAGCCAAGGGCUUUUGUUAUGGAACUCCAAGAUAAUUAGAUGCCCUUAUAGCCAAUGACCAGGUGGCUUUCAGCCUUCAGUGUCUCAGGCAAAUGGCUGUCCCUGCAAAGGGCUCCAAGCAGCCCAGGCCCCUGGCCCCAGAGCACCUGCAGCCCCAGGGGAGGUAGCUUCAGAGCCCCAUCCUCUAAGGACAGUAGCUACUUUCUACCUGCAGGGCUGCUGGGACAAUUAAUGAGCUUGUGUUUAUAAAGGACUCUCAGCUCCUCAGAAGGGCUCUGCAGAAGUACAAGUGGGUUAUAAUUACCACUGCUGUAAUUAAUGAGUCCCAACUUCUUAGAGAAUAUAAAGUGGAUAAUAAAAGGAAGGGGCUAAGCAAGAGAAAAAAACUCCAUGUGUUUGAACUUGGGAUUUUUCUCCCUUUGUAAACUACGCUUUGGUAAAGUAUCAAAUGAGAUUAUAUUCUCUCCUUUCAGUGGAACCCAAAUGGGAUGCCUCAAUGCCAAGGGAAGAGUUUCUAAGAAUAAUAGAGUGUGUUGCAGGUCUUUGAAAAACACUGGACUGAAAUCAAUCCUGCCACUCCCAGUAACUUGCAUAGUGAGCCUUCGUCUGUAAGGGGACCUAACAGGUGGGGAGAGGGGUGUCACUGAGCUCAGGAAAGUGAGGCACUGGGAACACAGCUGGCAUUCAGUUCAUACCGGUUCUGUGAUCUUUUAUACCUCAGAUCCCAAAUGUGAAGGAAAAAUAAUGCUUCCUGCUUAGCCAAAAUUGAAAAUAAGAAAACACACACUUCUAAUUUUCCACUCUAAUAAAUGUAGUUACUGAUAAUAGAUACCUUUUCAUUUUUUUUUCUUUUGGUGGUGGUUGGGUAUCAUAUCCUUAAGAUAAAUUCCUAGGGUUGAAAAGAAAAAGCAUUCUGAUGGUUCUCAGAGUACAUUAUUAAAUUUCUCUUUGGAGGAGUUUAUGCUGGGGCUACCCAAUUAGAUAAGGAUGUGCAUUUUCCCACAACUUCACCAGCAUUAUGUAUUACUAUUUUGAUGUGUGUUGCAGGGGAUGCCAUUCCUUUUGCAAGGUUUCCAUCAUUGGUGGGGAAGUUGGGAGGCUGGGAGUUUACUUUCACCUCCCAAUUUCUGCUAGUGUUGGUCUUGAAGUUGUUAGCAGUGCUUCAGUAGGACUAAGAGGCAGAUGAACAAUUUCCUUCUAUACAGAAGAAUACUUUUAAAAACAUGAACAGGGAUACACAUGCAUCAAAAUUUCUUGUAGGAGUUCCCCUCAUGGCACAGCAGAAACAAAUCUGACUAGGAACCAUGAGGUUGCGGGUUCGAUCCCUGGCCUCGCUCAGUGGGUUGAGGAUCUGGCGUUGCCAUGAUCUGUGGUGUAGGUCACAGAUGCAGCUCAGAUCUGAUGUGGCUGUGGCUGUGGCGUAGGCUGGAAGCUGUAGCUCCAAUUGGACCCCUAGCCUGGGAACUUACAUAUGCCAUAGGUGUGGCCCUAAAAAGAAAAAAAAAA
rnacentral:lncRNA from 1 species